GAUUUAACAGAAAUUAAAAAUAUUAAAAUAAUUUAAACAAAUAGAUUUAAAAUAUUAAAACAAAUUUGACAAAUAAAACUAUCAACGGCUUGGUUGAAAUGAAAGCCUCUCCAAUGGUACAGUCAGUGACUAGGAGAGAAGAAGAGAUGAUGCAAAGAGAGUGUAUAUGUUGAAUGUAUGAAAAUCAGAUCCUUGUAAAGAGAGUAAAGUUCAACCUUUAUAGAAGAAGGUUGUUUUUCCUCCAAAAUCUCACUCUUUGUGCCAUUUGUCCCUAUUUGUGUGUCUUAAUCGUCUCCCAUUAAAGUAGGGGCAACGAGUCAGCCUAACAACCAUGUAUGCAGGCCUCCUCGUCCUCUGCCUCCCCACAUUCCAUUCAGAAUGGGCCAAGCACUGGGCCGAGCUUCUUAGCUUGCCCGCAUCGGAGAGCAGGCCUUGCACAUUGGGCCUCGCUCCAAUGCUUGUCCUGCUUUGAAGCCAGUGUUAGUCGUUGGUCCGAGCUCUAACCUAACCCAACUUCAGGAUGGGCCUAGCAUUAAAACAAAUUUGUUGUAGGAGCUUCAUGACAGAGCUAUGCAACAUUCAUGAGGGAGUUAUGCAGUACUCAUGAGAGAGCUAUGUAGGAGCUUUAAAUUGCCAUUAACUCAAAAAAGAUUUCUCCUGACUAAUUGAAUCAGAGGAUGAUACCAAUCUUCUUUUUUCUUCCGGUUUUAUAGAUUUUACCAUGGAAUCCACAUGCAUAUAACUAAUACUUGAGGAGGUGAAAACAUGCAAUUUUUGUUCAUGUAAAUAAAGCCUUAAUCCUUUUCUCUGUAUGUGGGUAUUCUCUAUAUGUGGAUGCCUGUGCGCACAUGUAAUGAUUUUGACAUUCUGAAUCCAACCUUGAAUAAUAAUUUGCAUGCCUCUCUAUAUAUAUAUGCUCACAAACCAAACCAAACCCAAAUAAUACAAACUACUUACUUGGAAGGAAAAUGUUGGGAUAUUAAUAUUGUGCAUCUACUGCUACGAGUAGAGUAGUAAUAGGUCACAACACAAAGCUAACAUAUUUUUUGUGUCACUGCAAAACAUGGCACAAAUACAUCCUUCCUUCUAGACUUUGUUCCUACAUAACAAAAAAACUUCCCCACCAAACUGUCCACUAUUCACCACUUUCUCAGCUAACCUCAAACUUUUCACCAUCCUCUACGCUUGCUCUCUUGCAUUAUGCAGAGAACUGACAAAAAAAAA